rnacentral:misc_RNA from 1 species
UCUCCGUGGGUGAACCAGCGGAGGGAUCAUUACCGAGUUUUUCUACUCCCAAACCCGUGUUAACUUAUACCUUUACUGUUGCUUCGUCGGGUUAAUGCCCCGGAAGUCUCAAAAAGCCGCCGUAACCAGGCGCCCGACGGGGAACCUAAACUCUUGUAUUUCUUACUUUGCAUGUCUGAGUGGAAUCAUAAACAAAUGAAUCAAAACUUUCAACAACGGAUCUCUUGGUUCUG